rnacentral:misc_RNA from 1 species
CCAAACUUGGUCAUUUAGAGGAAGUAAAAGUCGUAACAAGGUUUCCGUAGGUGAACCUGCGGAAGGAUCAUUAACGAGUUUCGUCGGGGGCGGCACCGCCUCUCGCGUGUGCGCCCCCUUCAAACCCCAUUCACACACCUCUGUGCACCUUCAUGAGAUUGUGGGGAGUCAUUUUCUUCUCUCCGCGAUCUGACGUCUGACACCGUAAAAAAGCGAUGGGAACGUGAAACGUCGUAACGAAAAACAUAACUUUCAACAACGGAUCUCUUGGUUCUCGCAUCGAUGAAGAACGCAGC